rnacentral:rRNA from 1 species
CAAUAGCGUAUAUUAAAGUUGUUGCGGUUAAAAGCUCGUAGUUGGAUUUCUGCCGAGGACGACCGGUCCGCCCUGUGGGUGAGCAUCUGGAUCGGCCUGGGCAUCUUCUUGGGGAACGUAGCUGCACUUGACUGUGUGGUGCGGUAUCCAGGACUUUUACCUUGAGGAAAUUAGAGUGUUUCAAGCAGGCGCACGCCUUGAAUACAUUAGCAUGGAAUAAUAAGAUAGGACCUCGGUUCUAUUUUGUUGGUUUCUAGGACCGAAGUAAUGAUUAAGAGGGACAAUUGGGGGUAUCCGUAUUUCGUUGUCAGAGGUGAAAUUCUUGGAUUUACGAAAGACGAACAACUGCGAAAGCACUUGCCAAGAGUGUUUUCAUUAAUCAAGAACGAAAGUUAGAGGAUCGAAGACGAUCAGAUACCGU